GCAGAAGUCGCCAAAGUACAAGCAGAGUUGGAAAGUCCCUUUAAGGAAUUUUGAUGUGAAGUAAGGAAUAAGUUUUUCAUGGCCAUACUUCUUACUUGGAUGUUUUCCAAUGACUCUUUGUAAUGUACACAUUUUGAUUACUUAAAAUUUUUCAUAUAGAUGUUGAAUUGGAUCUGUAGUUAACUUUUUUGUUUAGGCUUGGUGCAUCACAAAGAGGUCCCCUCUUCUCAACAAUGUCCAACUCUCUAUUCACAAUCAAUGUAACCAUUUUCCUUUUAUGUAAUAAAAGAAGUGUUUGUCUUCAA